rnacentral:tRNA from 1 species
GGCUCCAUCGUCCAAGAGGAAGAUGUCGGAUUGUCGAUCCGAAGACGCGGGUGCGAUUCCCGCUGGAGCCGCCA